ensembl:ncRNA F57B10.18 ncRNA
GCCCCCGAGACUUCCUUUAGUUAAAGGAAGGUUGACUCGCUUUCUCUCUUCUCUCUAUGUUUGUCCCUCUCGGAAUUUGUCUCUCCGGCGACGACCUGACCACCCGGGGCUAUUCACAAAAUCGCACCUCGUUUCUUGAACA